rnacentral:rRNA from 1 species
UCCGUAGGUGGACAAUUAAGUCAGAGGUGAAAGUUUGCAGCUCAACUGUAAAAUUGCCUUUGAUACUGGUUGUCUUGAAUUAUUGUGAAGUGGUUAGAAUAUGUAGUGUAGCGGUGAAAUGCAUAGAUAUUACAUAGAAUACCAAUUGCGAAGGCAGAUCACUAACAAUAUAUUGACACUGAUGGACGAAAGCGUGGGGAGCGAACAGGAUUAGAUACCCUGGUAGUC